GGGUUAAAUGGAUCAGAAAUAGGUUAAAUAGGUUAAAUGGGUUAUCUAACUCAAUUCGACCUGGAUAUUAAACGGGUUAAAUAGAUCAGAUAUUUAAAAUCCAAAUCUGAUCUAAUUAUUAAAUGGAUUAAACGGAUUGAUCCAUUUAUGAUCCAAAUCCAUUGAGCCUAAACUCAAAUCUGUUUAUGACGAAUCGAAAAUGGAUUGGAUUAACGGAUCGGAUCAUAUUCUAUCAGUCCUAUCAUGCAGAGGUAUCUCAAUAUUCAGAUCUUGUCAUACG
rnacentral:lncRNA from 1 species